CUGUCUUCUGAGCGGGUGACUGGUCUUCUUUUAACCUCAGAGCUUUCUUCCCUGGCUUUUUACCUUACUAAUGGUUUUGUCCAGCUAAGGGAUAUGUGACAUUUCAAUCUAGCAUGUAUCUAUAGUUUGAGAAAUUGUUACUUAGCAGAAAUAGUUGGGAUUGAGUGGAAUAAUACUUGCUAACUUCCAUUGCAUUCAACAGGUGCAGCACUCGCUUUUGGUUUUGGAGCCGUCACCGGUACCUGCUUUGGACUGGAAAUUGCGAACCAUUGGUUCCAGCUAUAUAGGUUGGAUACAAUGGCUGCGCAGAUGAAGUUCUACGAAUGGCUGCAGAACAGAGCUUGAGGACGGUCUUAAAUUGGACGUGCAUUUAAACCUGGAUGGAAUUUCUCUUUUAGGCAAUAAGAAUCCGUUUGAUCCAGUAUUUUGGUCUUGGUGUCUGGAGAAUUUUUACAAUGCUUGAGGUUAUGCAAAAAUUUCAGUCAGUGGAUUUCUCCCUUUAUUGUCUCCUCAUGCAAUUAUUUUGAGGAAUUAAUGGCAUGUUUACCAAGCUAGAUUAAAUAGUAUUUCUUAAAUAUAAUAAUAGUAAUAAUAAUAAAACAAAGCACAAUGUCUAAUACUAUCAUGUACUUAAAAGAGUAAUGCUAUUUAGUGGUGUGAAGUAUCAUUCUAGGUGACAAUUAUGUGACAGUAUAAUUCAUAUAAAUGCAAUGCCAUAUGAUUUAUUUAAUUGAAUAUAUCGUGUGGCUACCUAGAUUGAUAAUUUAGUACUACUAGUGCUAAAUAACAUUAUUC
rnacentral:lncRNA from 1 species